GAUGAACGCUGGCGGCGUGCCUAAUACAUGCAAGUCGAGCGCUGAAGGUUGGUUCUUGUUCCGACUGGAUGAGCAGCGAACGGGUGAGUAACGCGUGGGGAACCUGCCUUUGAGCGUGGGACGACAUUUGGAAACGAAUGCUAAUACCGCAUAAAAACUUUAAACACAAGUUUCAAGAUUGAAAGAUGCAAUUGCAUCACCCAAAGAUGAUCCCGCGUUGUAUUAGGUAGUUGGUGAGGUAAAGGCUCACCAAGGGGAUGAUACAUAGCCGACCUGAGAGGGGGAGCGGCCACAUAGGGACUGUGACACGGGCCCAACUCCUACAGGAGGGAGAAGUAGGGAGUCUUCGGCAAUGGGCGAAAGUCUGACCGCGCAACGCCGCGUGAGUGAAGAGAGGUUUCGGAGCGUAAAAAUCUGUUUGUAGAGAAGAACAAUGGUGAGAGUGGAAAGCUCAUCAAGUGGCGGGAACUACCCAGAAAGGGACGGCUAACUACGUG
rnacentral:rRNA from 1 species